rnacentral:lncRNA from 1 species
GGAGGAUAACUCAAAUAUUAUUAUUUGAGUUAUUUUUAAACAAUUUCUGCAAAAAGAUUUGAGUCACCUCUCAACGUCCAUCUCAAAACAGAUGAGCCCUGGACUAUAGUAAAACUGUUUUAAAAAACCUACACAUUGCUCUACGCUUAACGCGAACUGAUAUUCGUUAGAAGAAACUGGUAUUCGGUUUCAGCGGCAGUUUCACAUAGCAGUUCACUGUUAUCACAGCGACUGUUAGGUAGGCGUGGUUUGACUGUCACCUUUUCUUCGUUGUGAAUCAUACCACUUCGAUCGCAGUAGAUUGUUAUAAGAAUUACUGCGAUAAGUAGAAAUAAUUCUAGUUUGCUAUCGCAGUAACUUAUUUAUAAAAUAAAAAUGGCGAAAUCUGGCGAAAAUACAUUACAUUCUCGGACGAAAAAAAAUGUUUUUAUUCAUUUAAGAGAAAGGAUGCAAUUGCAAAAAUUUUGGAAAAGGUGGGUAUAGAUUAUAGAUA